rnacentral:lncRNA from 1 species
CCUCUGGUUUCCUUUUUAUUAUCCUUUUGAAUUUAUUUAAUAACAGCGCCUCAUUUUCAAAUAAUAGGGUUUUGUUUGAACUCUUUCAAAAUUGCCCAAUUUAUUUUUAUAAAUUGUAGCAUGAUUUUAGAAGGCCUCCAAUAUAUUUAUUUUAUUUUUUAGCCUUUUCCUUUUAGCCCUAUGGGUUAUUUUUUUUAACUGCUUGUAUGUUUUUUUUGCCAAGCCCGUUCAACUGAGAGAGAGAGGAGACCAGCCUUUUAGGCCCAGCAGCUUUGGUCUAGCCCGGUAGCGCGAU